ensembl:rRNA 5S_rRNA 5S ribosomal RNA
GUCUACAGCCAAACCACCCUGAGCGCACCCGAUCUCGGCCGAUCCCGGAAGCUAAGCAGGGUGGGGCCUGGUUAGUACUUGGAUGGGGGACACCUGAUCCAGGAAGGACU